rnacentral:rRNA from 1 species
AGGAUUAACGCUGGCGGCGUGCCUAACACAUGCAAGUCGAACGAGGUAGCAAUACCUAGUGGCAGACGGGUGAGUAACGCGUGGUCAACCUACCGUUGAGUGGGGGAUAACUAGCCGAAAGGUUAGCUAAUACCGCAUACGAGUCUCGGGGGCAUCCCUGGGCCUUAAAAGGAGCAAUCCGCUCGAUGACGGGACCGCGUCCCAUUAGCUAGAUGGUGGGGUAACGGCCUACCAUGGCACCGAUGGGUAGCUGGUUUGAGAGAGCGACCAGCCACACUGGGACUGAGAAACGGCCCAGACUCCUACGGGAGGCAGCAGUGAGGAAUUUUCCGCAAUGGGCGAAAGCCUGACGGAGCGACGCCGCGUGUGGGAAGAAGGCCUUCGGGUCGUAAACCACUGUCGAAGGGGACGAUAAUGACGGUACCCUUGGGAGGAACGCCCCGGCUAACUACGCGCCAGCAGCCGC